GGGUUGCAAGGCUCAGUCCUACAUUCGGUACUUUCAUUGUUGUGGUGAAGACUGAAUGUUCGUCCCAUGAGGUGUGUCAGGCCUCAGCAAAUCUAGUGACUAGUGCAUAAAUGAAAAAUUGUGGUAGAGCCACUUGAGCAAAUCCACAGUUCAUUGAAAUGUGGCAGAACAUGCAAAAGAAGCAAAUGGAGAGAACAAGACUGCACACAACACAAGAGAGAAACUUGCAGAGGCUAAGGAUGCCUGCUUAUUCUCAGUCCUAUGAAGAAGAUGCUUCUCUGCAUCAUAGGACUGGCAGGGGUUGUGAAUCUGCCUUCAGUCAGAACACUCAGUAUGAUGGCAUUUGCCAGUUUUCCCAACUUCCAGCUUGCCUUCACCCUGCUGUCUGACACUAUAAACAAGCUUCAAAAGGAAUCAUCAUGAAAAAGGGACAUGGUUUUGAUACUGAUCCACUUCAUUCCUCAUUGUGCGGAUUCCUGAAUCACACUAGAAUGAUAAAUGGAAUUUACCGGUAAAUCAUACUGGGAACUCCUUGAACGGUAAAUGGAAUUUUGUUCUCCCUGAUGAGAUGGAAAUAGUUUUUAAGAUUCUGAUCAGAAA